CCUACGGGAGGCAGCAGUGGGGAAUAUUGCACAAUGGGGGGAACCCUGAUGCAGCGACGCCGCGUGGGUGAUGAAGUACUUCGGUAUGUAAAGCUCUAUCAGCAGGGAAGAAAAUGACGGUACCUGAACAAGAAGACCCGGAUAACUAAGUUCCAGCAGCCGCGGUAAUACGUAGGGGGCAAGCGUUAUCCGGAUUUACUGGGUGUAAAGGGAGCGUAGACGGGGUGCCAAGUCUGGGGUGAAAGGCCGGGGCUCAACCCCCGGACUGCAUUGGAAACUGGCAUGCUGGAGUGCAGGAGGGGCAAGCGGAAUUCCUAGUGUAGCGGUGAAAUGCGUAGAUAUUAGGAGGAACACCGGUGGCGAAGGCGGCUUACUGGACUGUAACUGACGUUGAGGCUCGAAAGCGUGGGGAGCAAACAGGAUUAGAUACCCUGGUAGUC
rnacentral:rRNA from 1 species